GGAUUCGAGGAAAUUCGUAUCUAAGACGUGUACGGCACGGGGAUAGGUCGGAUUUGUGGUGCAUCGUCGUAUUCGAGUAAGGAUUAUGGAUUUGUCCGGAUUCGCUCGGAAAUGUUCCGUAUUCUCCGUCGCACGAUUUCGGAUUCAUCAGGAUUCCAUGUCAUUUCGUGCAGUGCGAUUUGAUGCAAGAACAUCAGCGUAACAGCCUAAAGGCCACCAACUGGUACAUGCCAGUAGUCUCAUGGUUUCUUGCUAGCGUAGCAUACUGCUGUGCACAGCUGAGGUGUUUGGAAUAUUAUUUCUUCAAGAGAGGCCCUAUUUUUGAAACCUCAUGACUUAUACGCCUAAAGAUGGUGACAACGAAAAGGAUUUGUUUAGCUAGUUGCUUUCUCAUCAUGUAUCUUGGCCUAUCACAGAUUGUGUAUGAAAAGAUCAACAGCAAUGAACAGUUCCGGGCAACAUCAAUGAAAAAACGUGUUUUUACGAAUUCCCACCGAAACCUAAAAAAAAUUGCUGCAUGGAUAUGGUUACCACAGCAAAUAAUACACUGGUGUAUAUUUU